GCCGCCUUAGCUCAGUCGGCAGAGCGUCUCACUCGUAAUGAGAAGGUCAAGGGUUCGAUUCCCUUAGGCGGCUCCA
rnacentral:tRNA from 7 species